AUACGGAGGAUGCGAGCGUUAUCCGGAUUUAUUGGGUUUAAAGGGAGCGUAGGUGGGAUAUUAAGUCAGCUGUGAAAGUUUGGGGCUCAACCUUAAAAUUGCAGUUGAUACUGGUUUCCUUGAGUACGGUACAGGUGGGCGGAAUUCGUGGUGUAGCGGUGAAAUGCUUAGAUAUCGCGAAGAACUCCGAUCGCGAAGGCAGCUCACCGGGCCGGAACUGACACUGAUGCUCGAAAAUGCGGGUAUCAAACAGGAUUAGAUACCCUGGUAGUCCGCACAGUAAACGAUGAAUACUCGCUGUUUGCGAUACACUGUAAGCGGCCAAGCGAAAGCGUUAAGUAUUCCACCUGGGGAGUACGCCGGCAACGGUGAAACUUAAAGGAAUUGACGGGG
rnacentral:rRNA from 1 species